UAGCUUAUGCUUUUUCAGUUUAUGCUUUUCUAGAUGCGAAUCGAUGUAUGAAGCGGGAUAUCCGCACCGGAGCGGACUUUGGCAAGUUUUACAGGUGGCGGGCAGGGCUCGGCACAGAGGACCGAAGAAUCUGACUCUGAGCGGCCGAGGGGCCGCACUCCUUUCCAGAGGGGCGAAGCUGCACAGCCACGAGCAGUUGGAGAACAGGCGAGAGACUCGUUAAGCGGUCCGCUCGGGCUCAAAUCGCCGAGGAUCUCACGGUGAUGAAGAGGAACCCGGUGAAUGUGGGAGCAUCCCGGUUAGAUGAUGUGCUCCUGAUGAGGAUGGAUUCUGGAUCCUGCCCUCUGAAAGGCACAUUGCGGCAAGGCUCUAGGAACGGUCGAGGCAUCGAGGUCCGAGGAGCGGCACGACAGGCUUCGGAGCGGUCGGUCGCUUUGGGGCGGAUC